UACGGAGGGGGCUAGCGUUGUUCGGAAUUACUGGGCGUAAAGCGCACGUAGGCGGCUUUGCAAGUUAGAGGUGAAAGCCCGGGGCUCAACUCCGGAAUUGCCUUUAAAACUGCAUCGCUAGAAUUGUGGAGAGGUAAGUGGAAUUCCGAGUGUAGAGGUGAAAUUCGUAGAUAUUCGGAGGAACACCAGUGGCGAAGGCGACUUACUGGACACAUAUUGACGCUGAGGUGCGAAAGCGUGGGGAGCAAACAGG
rnacentral:rRNA from 1 species